ensembl:lncRNA
GGUGGGGGUGUUACUGCUAUCUACAGGUGGUUUGGGGGGGUGUUACUGCUAUCUACAGGUGGGGGGGGUGAGACUCCCCUCCCAUUAUAAUACACAGCCUUCAGAGCACAGGAACAACACUGCAUUAUAAACCCAGUCUAAUCCCUUAUGAGCCGUUAUAGCGUAGAGGUUAGCAGUAAAGUCACCAGGUACUUCAGCCGUCCAGCCCAAUGCACGCUGGGAGAUGUUAUUCAGGGGGGGAGGAGCCUAGCAGGGAAGCAGCCGGGGGAGGAGCCUAGCAGUGAAGCAGCCUGGUGACUGCCAGCAGCUGGUCUGUGGUGGGUUAUUGAUCAGGACCAAGCUGAUACAGUAUUAUUGAUUAUUGAUUGGCAGACACCAGAGACAACAUGAACAUAGACCUCUCGCCUUUGAGAGAGUCAGAGCAGAGCAAGGUGAAGCUGCCUCUAGAGUCUACAGGCACCGAUCUAAUGGUCACUUCCUGGUCUCCCCCAACAGCCAAGGUUAGGCUUGGUGGAUGGCAUGCUGAUCCUAGAUCGGUACUAAACAAGAGUCACCUGUGUUUGUUCACACCCGUCACAGUGGCCAAGAUGAACGACGAGAGACAAGACAGGUAGGAGGAAGGAGGAGGACCGGACCACAAUCUGUCAAAUGUCUUUCAAACCACACAUCUCUUAACACAACACUUCUCCAGUCCACACCUCCUGAGGGUUACAAUAAAAAAGCAGGAUCAAUGAGCUAAGCCAGAUAACUCUGAUAAACAACCAGAAAUAACUGCUGGUUUCCUGGUUGUUUAAAACAGUCUUUAAAAAAAAAAAAGAUAACAUUCUCAGUUCUCUAGGGUCAGAGAUAGUAAGCACUACAGUCCUGUCAGGUUGACUGAUCCUAGGUCAGUUCUCUAGGGUCAGAGAUAGUAAGCACUACAGUCCUGUCAGGUUGACUGAUCCUAGGUCAGUUCUCUAGGGUCAGAGAUAGUAAACACUACAGUCCUGUCAGGUUGACUGAUCCUAGGUCAGUUCUCUAGGGUCAGAGUUAGUAAGCACUACAGUCCUGUCAGGUUGACUGAUCCUAGAUCAGUUCUCUAGGGUCAGAGUUAGUAAGCACAACAGUGCUGUCCUGUCAGGUUGACUGAUCCUAGGUCAGUUCUCUAGGGUCAGAGUUAGUAAGCACUACAGUGCUGUCCUGUCAGGUUGACUGAUCCUAGGUCAGUUCUCUAGGGUCAGAGUUAGUAAACACUACAGUGCUGUCCUGUCAGGUUGACUGAUCCUAGGUCAGUUCUCUAGGGUCAGAGUUAGUAAACACUACAGUGCUGUCCUGUCAGGUUGACUGAUCCUAGGUCAGUUCUCUAGGGUCCCCUGAUCGCGCAAUGUUCUGCUUGUUGAUUGGCCAGUUGGCCAGUUCUGCUUGUUGAUUGGCCAGUUAGACAGUUCUGCUUGUUGAUUGGCCAGUUAGACAGUUCUGCUUGUUAAUUGGCCAGUCACAGUUCUGCUUGUUGAUUAGCCAGUUAGACAGUUCUGCUUGUUGAUUGGCCAGUCACAGUUCUGCUUGUUGAUUGGCCAGUUAGACAGUUCUGCUUGUUGAUUGGCCAGUUAGACAGUCCUGCUUGUUGAUUGGCCAGUUAGACAGUCCUGCUUGUUGAUUGGCCACAGUUAGACAGGUCUGCUUGUUGAUUGGCCAGUUAGACAGUUCUGCUUGUUGAUUGGCCAGUUAGACAGUUCUGCUUGUUAAUUGGCCAGUUAGACAGUCCUGCUUGUUGAUUGGCCAGUUAGACAGUCCUGCUUGUUGAUUGGCCACAGUUAGACAGGUCUGCUUGUUGAUUGGCCACAGUUAGACAGUCCGGCUUGUUGAUUGGCCACAGUUAGACAGUUCUGCUUGUUGAUUGGUUAAUUGGCCAGUUAGACAGUUCUGCUUGUUGAUUGGCCAGUUAGACAGUCCUGCUUGUUGAUUGGCCAGUUAGACAGGUCUGCUUGUUGAUUGGCCACAGUUAGACAGGUCUGCUUGUUGAUUGGCCACAGUUAGACAGUCCGGCUUGUUGAUUGGCCACAGUUAGACAGUCUGGCUUGUUGAUUGGCCACAGUUAGACAGUCCGGCUUGUUGAUUGGACAGUUAGACAGGUCUGCUUGUUGAUUGGCCACAGUUAGACAGGUCUGCUUGUUGAUUGGCCACAGUUAGACAGGUCUGCUUGUUGAUUGGCCACAGUUAAGACAGGUCUGCUUGUUGAUUGGCCACAGUUCGACAGUUCUGGUAGUUGAUUGGCCAGUUAGACAGUUCUGCUUGUUGAUUGGCCAGUUAAGACAGUUCUGCUUGUUGAUUGGCCAGUUAAGACAGUUUUGACAGGUAACUCUGCUGUGAAUUGUCCUGUCUGUCUGUUGGUUCUGAAUCUCUCCAGAUAUUUGGUCUUGAGCCUUGACAAC